rnacentral:rRNA from 1 species
CGUAGGGGGCAAGCGUUGUCCGGGAUCAUUGGGCGUAAAGAGCGUGUAGGCGGUCCGGUAAGUCGGCUGUGAAAGUCCAGGGCUCAACCCUGGGAUGCCGGUCGAUACUGCCGGACUAGAGUUCGGAAGAGGCGAGUGGAAUUCCCGGUGUAGCGGUGAAAUGCGCAGAUAUCGGGAGGAACACCUAUGGCGAAGGCAGCUCGCUGGGACGUUACUGACGCUGAGACGCGAAAGCGUGGGGAGCAAACAGGAUUAGAUACCCUGGUAGUCCACGCCGUAAACGAUGGGCACUAGGUGUGGGAGGUGUCGACUCCUCCCGUGCCGGAGCUAACGCAUUAAGUGCCCCGCCUGGGGAGUACGGCCGCAAGGCUA